rnacentral:rRNA from 1 species
UGGACAGCCUUCUGAAAGGAAGAUUAAUACAAGAUGGCAUCAUGAGUCCGCAUGUUCACAUGAUUAAAGGUAUUCCGGUAGACGAUGGGGAUGCGUUCCAUUAGAUAGUAGGCGGGGUAACGGCCCACCUAGUCUUCGAUGGAUAGGGGUUCUGAGAGGAAGGUCCCCCACAUUGGAACUGAGACACGGUCCAAACUCCUACGGGAGGCAGCAGUGAGGAAUAUUGGUUUAUGGGCGAGAGCCUGAACCAGCCAAGUAGCGUGAAGGAUGACUGCCCUAUGGGUUGUAAACUUCUUUUAUAAAGGAAUAAAGUCGGGUAUGGAUACCCGUUUGCAUGUACUUUAUGAAUAAGGAUCGGCUAACUCCGUGCCAGCAGCCGCGGUAAUACGGAGGAUCCGAGCGUUAUCCGGAUUUAUUGGGUUUAAAGGGAGCGUAGAUGGAUGUUUAAGUCAGUUGUGAAAGUUUGCGGCUCAACCGUAAAAUUGCAGUUGAUACUGGAUAUCUUGAGUGCAGUUGAGGCAGGCGGAAUUCGUGGUGUAGCGGUGAAAUGCUUAGAUAUCACGAAGAACUCCGAUUGCGAAGGCAGCCUGCUAAGCUGCAACUGACAUUGAGGCUCGAAAGUGUGGGUAUCAAACAGGAUUAAAUACCCUGGUAGUCCACACGGUAAACGAUGAAUACUCGCUGUUUGCGAUAUACAGCAAGCGGCCAAGCGAAAGCGUUAAGUAUUCCACCUGGGGAGUACGCCGGCAACGGUGAAACUCAAAGGAAUUGACGGGGGCCCGCACAAGCGGAGGAACAUGUGGUUUAAUUCGAUGAUACGCGAGGAACCUUACCCGGGCUUAAAUUGCAGAUGAAUUACGGUGAAAGCCGUAAGCCGCAAGGCAUCUGUGAAGGUGCUGCAUGGUUGUCGUCAGCUCGUGCCGUGAGGUGUCGGCUUAAGUGCCAUAACGAGCGCAACCCUUGUUGUCAGUUACUAACAGGUUCUGCUGAGGACUCUGACAAGACUGCCAUCGCAAGUUGUGAGGAAGGUGGGGAUGACGUCAAAUCAGCACGGCCCUUACGUCCGGGGCUACACACGUGUUACAAUGGGGGGUACAGAGGGCCGCUACCACGCGAGUGGAUGCCAAUCCCCAAAACCUCUCUCAGUUCGGACUGGAGUCUGCAACCCGACUCCACGAAGCUGGAUUCGCUAGUAAUCGCGCAUCAGCCACGGCGCGGUGAAUACGUUCCCGGGCCUUGUACACACCGCCCGUCAAGCCAUGGGAGCCGGGGGUACCU